UACGUAGGAGGCAAGCGUUGUCCGGAAUUACUGGGCGUAAAGCGCGUGUAGGUGGUGGGACAAGUCUGCUGUGAAAGCGCCUGGCUUAACCGGGCGAGGUCGGCGGAAACUGUCCGACUCGAGGACGGUAGAGGGGGGUGGAAUUCCCGGUGUAGUGGUGAAAUGCGUAGAGAUCGGGAGGAACACCAGUGGCGAAGGCGGCGACCUGGGCCAAUACUGACGCUGAGGUGCGAAAGCGUGGGGA
rnacentral:rRNA from 1 species